rnacentral:snRNA from 1 species
GCACUCGGUUCAGCAACACAUAUACUAUAAUUGGAAUGAUACAGAGAAGAUUAGCAUGGUCC